UACGGAGGAUGCAAGCGUUAUCCGGAAUGAUUGGGCGUAAAGCGUCCGCAGGUGGCUGUGUAAGUCUGCUGUUAAAGAGCAAAGCUUAACUUUGUAAAAGCAGUGGAAACUACAUCGCUAGAGUGCGUUCGGGGCAGAGGGAAUUCCUGGUGUAGCGGUGAAAUGCGUAGAGAUCAGGAAGAACACCGGUGGCGAAGGCGCUCUGCUAGGCCGCAACUGACACUGAGGGACGAAAGUUAGGGGAGCGAAUGGG
rnacentral:rRNA from 1 species